rnacentral:rRNA from 1 species
GAUGAACGCUGGCGGCGUGCCUAAUACAUGCAAGUCGAGCGAACGGACGAGAAGCUUGCUUCUCUGAUGUUAGCGGCGGACGGGUGAGUAACACGUGGAUAACCUACCUAUAAGACUGGGAUAACUUCGGGAAACCGGAGCUAAUACCGGAUAAUAUUUUGAACCGCAUGGUUCAAAAGUGAAAGACGGUCUUGCUGUCACUUAUAGAUGGAUCCGCGCUGCAUUAGCUAGUUGGUAAGGUAACGGCUUACCAAGGCAACGAUGCAUAGCCGACCUGAGAGGGUGAUCGGCCAAGCUGGAACUGGGACACGGUCCAGACUCCUACGGGAGGCAGCAGUAGGGAAUCUUCCGCAAUGGGCGAAAGCCUGACGGAGCAACGCCGCGUGAGUGAUGAAGGUCUUCGGAUCGUAAAACUCUGUUAUUAGGGAAGAACAUAUGUGUAAGUAACUGUGCACAUCUUGACGGUACCUAAUCAGAAAGCCACGGCUAACUACGUG